UCAGAAGUGCGAAUGCUGACAUAAGUAACGAUAAAGCGGGUGAAAAGCCCGCUCGCCGGAAGACCAAGGGUUCCUGUCCAACGUUAAUCGGGGCAGGGUGAGUCGACCCCUAAGGCGAGGCCGAAAGGCGUAGUCGAUGGGAAACAGGUUAAUAUUCCUGUACUUGGUGUUACUGCGAAGGGGGGACGGAGAAGGCUAUGUUGGCCGGGCGACGGUUGUCCCGGUUUAAGCGUGUAGGCUGGUUUUCCAGGCAAAUCCGGAAAAUCAAGGCUGAGGCGUGAUGACGAGGCACUACGGUGCUGAAGCAACAAAUGCCCUGCUUCCAGGAAAAGCCUCUAAGCAUCAGGUAACAUCAAAUCGUACCCCAAACCGACACAGGUGGUCAGGUAGAGAAUACCAAGGCGCUUGAGAGAACUCGGGUGAAGGAACUAGGCAAAAUGGUGCCGUAACUUCGGGAGAAGGCACGCUGAUAUGUAGGUGAAGUCCCUCGCGGAUGGAGCUGAAAUCAGUCGAAGAUACCAGCUGGCUGCAACUGUUUAUUAAAAACACAGCACUGUGCAAACACGAAAGUGGACGUAUACGGUGUGACGCCUGCCCGGUGCCGGAAGGUUAAUUGAUGGGGUCAGCGCAAGCGAAGCUCUUGAUCGAAGCCCCGGUAAACGGCGGCCGUAACUAUAACGGUCCUAAGGUAGCGAAAUUCCUUGUCGGGUAAGUUCCGACCUGCACGAAUGGCGUAAUGAUGGCCAGGCUGUCUCCACCCGAGACUCAGUGAAAUUGAACUCGCUGUGAAGAUGCAGUGUACCCGCGGCAAGACGGAAAGACCCCGUGAACCUUUACUAUAGCUUGACACUGAACAUUGAGCCUUGAUGUGUAGGAUAGGUGGGAGGCUUUGAAGUGUGGACGCCAGUCUGCAUGGAGCCGACCUUGAAAUACCACCCUUUAAUGUUUGAUGUUCUAACGUUGACCCGUGAUCCGGGUUGCGGACAGUGUCUGGUGGGUAGUUUGACUGGGGCGGUCUCCUCCUAAAGAGUAACGGAGGAGCACGAAGGUUGGCUAAUCCUGGUCGGACAUCAGGAGGUUAGUGCAAUGGCAUAAGCCAGCUUGACUGCGAGCGUGACGGCGCGAGCAGGUGCGAAAGCAGGUCAUAGUGAUCCGGUGGUUCUGAAUGGAAGGGCCAUCGCUCAACGGAUAAAAGGUACUCCGGGGAUAACAGGCUGAUACCGCCCAAGAGUUCAUAUCGACGGCGGUGUUUGGCACCUCGAUGUCGGCUCAUCACAUCCUGGGGCUGAAGUAGGUCCCAAGGGUAUGGCUGUUCGCCAUUUAAAGUGGUACGCGAGCUGGGUUUAGAACGUCGUGAGACAGUUCGGUCCCUAUCUGCCGUGGGCGCUGGAGAACUGAGGGGGGCUGCUCCUAGUACGAGAGGACCGGAGUGGACGCAUCACUGGUGUUCGGGUUGUCAUGCCAAUGGCACUGCCCGGUAGCUAAAUGCGGAAGAGAUAAGUGCUGAAAGCAUCUAAGCACGAAACUUGCCCCGAGAUGAGUUCUCCCUGACCCUUUAAGGGUCCUGAAGGAACGUUGAAGACGACGACGUUGAUAGGCCGGGUGUGUAAGCGCAGCGAUGCGUUGAGCUAACCGGUACUAAUGAACCGUGAGGCUUAACCUU
rnacentral:rRNA from 1 species